AGUCGAAGAUUCACAACAUUUAUGACUUCUAAUGAGGGAGUAAAAUUUGCUUAAAUUAGUUUAAUGUUACUUCACUAACAUCGCAGGUUGCAAAUCCCUUUAUUAGAAGACUAAUUUUAACACAGUGAGAUGAUUUAACUUGCCAGAAGUGGUGCAAACUGAAUUUAUUUCCCUAAAUGCAUUCUUUUAACUUUUCUAGGUUGAACAAUUAAGUCCAUCUAGAGGGACAUACUUUUCAAAUUUGUGGUUUCCUACUCUGC
rnacentral:lncRNA from 1 species